CAAACGAGGCUCCGUAAUUCGAAUGAGUACAAUUUAAAUCCUUUAACGAGGACCAAUUGGAGGGCAAGUCUGGUGCCAGCAGCCGCGGUAACUCCAGCUCCAAAAGCGUAUAUUAAAGUUGCUGCAGUUAAAAAGCUCGUAGUUGGAUCUGGGUUGUGCGUUCACGCGCCUUUACUUGUCUGUCAGACUUGGUCAAUGCCUUGGCUGAUGUUCAAAUAGGUGUAGUGGGCGUGCUGCCUUUCAGCCGUGUCUGUGUAAACGGGUGCUGACUGGGUUGAUGAGCUUGUCUUGUUAACCUGUUGGCAUGCUUCUAGAUGCCCUUUACCGGGUGUCGGGAGCGGACGGCAUCUUUACUUUGAACAAAUUUGAGUGCUCAAAGCAGGCCUGUGGGCCUGAAAAUUCUU
rnacentral:rRNA from 1 species